rnacentral:rRNA from 1 species
CCUACGGGGUGCUGCAGUGGGGAAUAUUGCACAAUGGGGGAAACCCUGAUGCAGCGACGCCGCGUGAGUGAAGAAGUAAUUCGUUAUGUAAAGCUCUAUCAGCAGGGAAGAAAAGGACGGUACCUGAGUAAGAAGCCCCGGCUAACGACGUGCCAGCAGCCGCGGUAAUACGUAGGGGGCAAGCGUUAUCCGGAUUUACUGGGUGUAAAGGGAGCGUAGACGGCUGGGCACGUCUGGAGUGAAAGGCGGGGGCUCAACCCCCGGACUGCUCUGGAAACUGUACGGCUGUCGUGCCGGAGGGGUACGUGUACUUCCUUGUGUCUCGGUGAACUGCGUCGCUGUUAGUAGUAACCCCAGUGG